UGGCAAGUCAUGGAUGAAUCGUCAAACCUCAUCAUCGGUCAUAUGAUAGAUUCAAUUAGUUUGAGUCCAUAUGUGAUUCUUAUAAAAACUCUUUUCCAUUAAUCACACUGCUAUGGCCAUAGACUUAAGAACUUCGCCUCUUAAAUCUCAUAGGACAACUUCCUUCUGCUAGGAUCGAUAGAUCCCAUCUUGAUGCACACCCCACUCCUAUAGUGGAUCAACUAU
rnacentral:lncRNA from 1 species